GAUGAACGCUGGCGGCGUGCCUAAUACAUGCAAGUCGAGCGAACGGACGAGAAGCUUGCUUCUCUGAUGUUAGCGGCGGACGGGUGAGUAACACGUGGAUAACCUACCUAUAAGACUGGGAUAACUUCGGGAAACCGGAGCUAAUACCGGAUGAUAUUUUGAACCGCAUGGUUCAAAAGUGAAAGACGGUCUUGCUGUCACUUAUAGAUGGAUCCGCGCUGCAUUAGCUAGUUGGUAAGGUAACGGCUUACCAAGGCAACGAUGCAUAGCCGACCUGAGAGGGUGAUAGGCCACACUGGAACUGAGACACGUUCAAGACGCCUAAGGGAGGCAGCAGUAGGGAAUCGUCGGCAAUGGGCGAAAGCCUGACGGAGCAACGCCGCGUGAGUGAUGAAGGUCUUCGGAUCGUAAAACUCUGUUAUUAGGGAAGAACAGAUGUGUAAGGAAAUGUGCACAGCGUGACGGUACCUAAUCAGAAAGCCACGGCUAACUACGUG
rnacentral:rRNA from 1 species